rnacentral:lncRNA from 10 species
AAAACCCUGACCCAUCCAUCUUCAGCACAUUCACAUGUGUAAUAAGGUAAGUGAUUUUUAAUUCCACCAGGUUUAAAGACCCCUGACGUGACUUAUUGCCAUUCUGCUACUGAGCCUUGAGAGAUUAUGGUAAGUGCCAAGAAAAAAAAAAUGACUUUGAACUGCUCUUUCACCAGUUAAAAAUAACACUGAAACCAAAUGUAAACAUAAAAGAAGUGGUCAGAUUCGGGUUACAUAUUAACGGUGUUUGGUCAGGCUGGAGCUGAGGCACAGCAGCAGAGAAUGCCUUUUACUUAUCACUGUUUCCAAACCUCCCUACCUGGACUAGGCUUGACUGGAUUUACAAGAGACCUUUUGAAAAGAUGCAGAGAAGGCAAGCAGCACACAUUUCCUGGUAAUAAAUUUUAAAGGUUGCUAAAACAUUCCAGAGAUUUUCACUCAACAUUCCUCUGGCCAACACAUCUGCAAUCUGCCAAUCCUUAAAAAUAGGUGUUUUUGCAUUUUAAUCUCACAAACAUCUUUGAAAAUGCAUUUCUUCUCUGCCCCUGUGUUGGACAAAUCCAGCUUUUUCCAUUUUCUAAAAACCACAGAAAUAUAAUGCUGCUUAAUUCAUACAAGACUGAGCUAACUGGAGUUAAAAUAAAAUUUCUGAGAGUUUGUUUGGCUCACUCUUCCCUACCAGAUGAUUCCAUUCUUAAAACGGUCCUGUGAUUAUAUUCUCUCAUUACAGAGGUGUCCAGAAAAAAAAUAAGGAGUGCAGUUCUGAAAUUAUAUAAAAGCAAAAUUAUUACUCUAAACGUAAGAGCUGUGAUAGAUCGUGUCAUUGACCAUGGUUCUUUUCCCCUGACACACACGUCCCCACCACCCACCCACUGUAUCCAUAUGCCUUUUGCCAUAUGACUUUGCAGCUCUCCCCACUAAAGGGGCAGCCAUGCGAUUUGCUUUGGCCAAUGAAAUGAGGCAGUAGUGGUGGUAUCCUAGUUCUGAGCCUAGGUCUCAAGAAGUCUUAUGUGUUUCUGCUUAUCCUCUUAUACCUCUGCCAUCACCAUGAGCCAAACAUCCCCCAAGUAGCCCACUGGUCCCAGGACAAGGAGGGAGACAUGAAGCAGAGCUCAUCCAGCUGCUGCAGCCCCACUUGACCCAGAGACCUACACUGGGAAGCAGAGCUGCCCAGUCAAGUCCAACCUGGAUGUGUGGAACCCCAGCCAACCUGAUGCAUGAGCACUCACGGCAUUGGAAGACAUCAUAAACAUUAAUGGAGAGCGGGAUGCCAGAAUAAGUUGAUCCAAAUGAUGCAGGAAUAUUUAGCAGCAAGGAGAAAGGAAUUCACAUUUCUCAGUACCCACUAUGUGCCAUACUUUGUGAUAAGAUGGUUUCCCUCCAAUAUAUCCUCAUUGUCAGCAAUGUCGGGAAACAGGAAUCAUUUCCCCUUCUACAGGUGAUAAAACUGAAGCAAGAAACAUACAGGCUAACAUCAGCUGAGCUGAGAUUUGAACUCCACUCUUUUUGACCCUGGAGCUGAUGAAUGCUGCUUCUAGAGGUUGAGUAUCCCUUAUCCGAAAUCCUUGGAACCAGGAGAUUUUUGGAUUUGGGAAUAUUUGCAUAUACAUAAUGAGAUAUCUUGGAGAUGGGACCCAAGUCUAAAUACAAAAUUAUUUUGUUGUAUAUACACCUUGUACACAUAGACUGAAGAUAAUUUUAUACAAUAUUUUAAAUAAU